CAACUUGAUUGAUUGAAUGUUUCAUACAGCCUCUAGCCGACGAAGCCGUAGCAUAGCUAGCUAGGCCAGGCCAGUGGCUGCUAGGCCUAGCCUAGGCCUACUACUACUAGGCUAGUAGGACGGCGGUGCAGCAGCUGAUGAUGCAGAGUUGAUAGAAAAAGAACAUGGUAGAGUAGUGGAAAGUACCUAAAUGAAGAUGGAAAAAAAAACAGAUAAUGAUGGACAGAUAAGUGUUGGCACAUCUCACAGAUACGUGUGAAAAUCAUUCAUCCCAUCGACCAUUGUUGGCUAUCAAAGAAGAGAAACCUGUGCUCACAACUACAGAAGGAUGGAUCAGCACUGGUAAUACAAAUACAAGGACUGAUUAAAAAAAACAACAAUAUUUGUAAUCAUACGGCCAUACCAAGGAGGCGAAAGCUGUAGAAAGCUCCCACUUCGAUCGGUACUUCACUUAACAAAAGAUAAUUGGCAAGUGAAAAAUGAUUUAUCACGCCCAACUGAGGAAAGCGAGGAUGGAGAAUGGAGUGGGCAACUUAGUGCUUCCGAUUUUGUGACAGUAUUGAAGAACACAAAGUCAUCAAAUGUCAAUAAAGAUUCAUCACUUUUCCAAGAGCUAGUCAGGAAAGAAGCUGAAAAGCGGUACUACAUAGAUGAGAAAACGGUGCUUCACAUACAAUGUAGCAGACGCCAUUGCAGAACUUCGAAAAUUGCUAACUAACAUGUUAGCCUCUAGACGCAAAGUGUGCAUGCUAAAGAAGAAACAUAAUGAUGACUUUGAGAAAGUAUGGAAACCAACUCAAACUGCUGGAGGUUGGAUACUAAACAUUAAUAAUGUAUACAAAUCAUUGGUCAUACGAUAUGAUUUAAGGGAAUUGUUACGUGGGCCACAGUUAUGGAGAUUAUAUAUCGACGGUCGUACUUAUGGUCGUCGACCCACCACUAUCAUAUCAUUUUCGAACAUAAACUGUGUCCAUGAGCUAAUUGGAAAUAAAAUCCACAGUCUGAAAAUGUUCUGGAGGGUAGGUCUAUUCAAGACAGGUUUAACCUAGAAGCCAACAUUACAUCAGACGGAAAAUGCGUAUAUAACGACUGGAUUAGGGAUCAAGAGAAACAGGGACACAUGGUAUACUUGUCUUGUGAUUCAAAAUGCCAAGACGCGAUAGUUGGUGAACGAGUUGGACCCCUUACACAGGACGGUUUCCAGGCCUCAAAUUUUACCGCAGCCACCGCUGCCAUUGCCGACGGUGCCCUCCCAGUUGGCCUUGGUGCCCCUGAAAGUAAAGCACGACGACGGCCACUACUUGCCUGCCCUUUUGAAGCCUUGGCCUCUGUGCCCUCACGAUGCUUAAUAUAGAUCGUUUGACAUGUAAAAUAAAUCUAAAUAAGAAUGUUUAAAUCUUGAAAGAAAACACGAAAGCCAGAAACGUAGGUCGCCUAAGCUAGCCUAGGCCUAGAUAAGGUUGCAGUGACAGAACAUCAGAGAAUUUCUAUGUGUGUUGAUACGAACUGUUUUUGCGGUUACCGUUGUGUGCGCAUGCGUACUACACGAGCGGUUAUUGCAGUAAACAUUGCGCUUAUUCGACUGGUUCAUUUUCGUUGAGUAUUUUCAUUUGACUAGUUCGUUAAAUAGACUUUGUUGACAACGAAAAUUAACGUAAACCAGAGUGCGUUAAUCAGCAUUAAGUUAUCCAUGUGGCCAAAAAAA